UGCGGCCGUAGCUCACGCAGCAGGGCGUGAGACUGUCUAUCUCAUGGCGCGGGUGCAACUCCCGCCGGUCGCGG
rnacentral:tRNA from 1 species